GCCCCUAUAGCUCAGUCGGUAGAGCAGCGUCCUUUUAAGUCGUGGGUCGUAGGUUCGAGUCCUACUGGGGGCACCA
rnacentral:tRNA from 1 species